rnacentral:pre_miRNA from 1 species
AUAGAACAUGGCCUUGUCAGACAGGCCAGGAUUGGUUGCAAUGCUGGAUGUCAUGUCAGUAUUGCACUUGUCCCGGCCUUUCUGAUUGGGCAAAAAUCUAC